GUACAGCGUGGGGGUGGGAGCGCGUGAUUGGAUGGACUGCAGCGAUUAGGAUUGGGCAGCCAUUCUCUCUCCCGUGAAAAUAUCUCCCUUCUCUCCCUCAUCCCGCUCCUCUUCUCCGUGUCGCCGCCGCCUCCGCUCCCCUCCCUCUCGGCCGCCUCGUCUCCUCCGCCUCCACCAUCUCCUCCUCCCGCGUCUCCUCGUCCCAUCUUGCUGCCGCCGGCUCCCCUCCUCUCCCCCUGAUUCUCCCCUUCAGCUCGGCCGUCUCAUCUCCUUUGCUGCUGCGCCGCCUCUUCCUCUGCCUCCGUGCUCAACAGGAGGAGCCGGGGUCGCAGCUGCACCACACGACAGUGGGCGAGGGCGAGCUCCAGCGCGAGCAUGCGGAGAGCUAUCCACUGGAUCCGGCCGGCCCAGAUCCACACGGCUCCGUCAACGACAGGCCCGGGGACCCUGCCGGCGUGGGUGUGCCGGCGUCGUUCUCUCUUCUCCAAUCCAUUCUUCCAGAUUUCUCUCCUUCUCUUUCUUAUGUACUCUUUUCUUGACGAACAGAGGGGGACGAAUUAGGAUGGAUCCACGCUGUCGACGCCUCUAAUUUGCUGCCAUGAACGAGGCCUCGCCCAGCGACCACCUCCAUUCAGCUGGCGGAAGAUGACGAUGGCCAACUCCCAGGUGCAGCCAGGCGGGAGGCGAAAAUGGCAAGGGCGGCAGGAGAAAUUCCUCCUUGUGUUGCUGCAUCACUGCAUCUCCCGAUAUUCCAGGAGUAGCUCGCCUGCCUGCUUUGAGAAGAAGAGAUGGAAGGUGGAGGUGGGAACAUGACGCAACGAGGAUAAGGCGUGGGCGUUACAAGAAGUGGGUUGGAGCAAGAAGUAGAGCAGGCAAUUCCCCUCUCUACAUUGGCAUCUACACAGCCAAAUCAAGGACUUAAACUCCUGAUGUCCAUGUAUUUGCUAAUGCUGUCCAUAAGAACGGCUCCUCCUAUCCCCUGCUCCUCUCGCAUUGGCGCAAGUCCGCCUCCUCCCCCGCCUCGGUCUCAACGCGUGCAGCAGCGAUCCGGGAGGAGCUCGAGCCGCAGUGGUGGUCCAUGAUGCCUUCGCCGUCGUCCCCGGCUGGAGAAGCAUGGGCCGCAGAGACGGCCGGAUCUGUCCGGCCCUCACGCUGUCGUUCGUCCACUCUCAAGGAUAAUUUGUUUGUUCAGCUGAUUUGUACAGUUCCAAUACCGGGUUGUUAAGGAAAAUCCAGAUGAUGCAUUCUACGAGUUGGAGACCCCCCCAACAGCAAAUUUAGUCCGACGUCUUUGAUGAAAAUAGUGGUUUGAGCCAUAGUUCCAAGAAUGGAGCUGGACAGUCUUUUUGAGGAAAAAAAUGAUGUCGCAAAGGCCAGGACUUAAGAGAGAUGCUGAUACUAUGAGGUGAAAUGUUCAUUUACUUAAGAGAAACGUGCACAAGGAUGACUGACCGUGUGCGGCACUGACCUCGAUGGCGCCCCGCAUCAUUUCUGCCCGACCUCAAUGUUUACCUCGUCACCCACGGCCAGAUGGUCGAAGACAUCCCGACGAAGCAGCACAUGCUUGUCCCUUCUUUCAUUGGCGGCGGGAGAAAGAGGAUCCACCUGCUCCCUUAUGCUGAUUCGAGCCUUCCUUGUGAGUUGGCUCCAAUUUUUGGAGAAAUUUUGAGCUGUAUUGAGUCCGAUGUUGUCAAUCGAGCCGCAUAGCCAGGAGGGAGGUGGGGGCAAUAUGAGCCCAGAUAAUCCUGCGGCGAAAACAAGAGGCGGUCUUUGACGAAUCUCUGGACAAACACUGCUGUCAAGCCAGCUGGCGCUCCAAAGAAAACGAAGCAGUAGUUCUUUCAUGGACUAGGCUAGAUAUGUACAUACGGGUAUCUUCUAUGUUCUGCUUGCUUAUCAAGCGAAGUUCACCAUUAGAAGGGUGUCUUGCUGAAGAGAGCUUCUCAGCUCUGCUGCGUCACAGCAAUGGUCUGGCCAUCGGGGUCUGAAGAUCGUCAACUCAGCACACUUUUGGGCGUGCACCAGGUUUAUUUUGUGCAACUUUGUAAGACAAGGCUUUGACACUCGCAUAACUAUGUCGAGCCACUGUCAUGACAAUUCCUCUAUUUAGGUCCUCGAACAAAUCAAGUACUAUGCGUUGUAAAUAUCGCCGUCAGCCCUUUCUGUCUUAUCUCCCUUCUUAUGACAAUUUCUACCUCCUGUAAAUGCCACUGGGCCAUGCUGCUUAAUCUAAGUCUUUUUGUUCUUG
rnacentral:rRNA from 1 species